rnacentral:lncRNA from 1 species
UCCCUCUUUCUCCCUUUCAAAAUGCAUCUCUCCCACUAGUGAAUGCCCACCCCCACGGGCUUUUGUCUAACCCACCACUGGCUCUCACCCUCUACCCCUAUGCUCUCUCUCAUCCCAAUCUCUUCUUCUACACUACCUCCUCCCCUUUUCAAGGGGUAAUUCCCACCUGUCGCCUCCAUCCACUGUCAACUCUUCCCCAACCUCCAACUCCCAUCCGCUACCCCCAUUAGCCACACUCUUAUCUUCUCUCUUUAGCAUCCGUGAACACCGAUGCCACCCCAA